rnacentral:rRNA from 1 species
GAUAACGCUGGCGGUGUGCUUUAUGCAUGCAAGUCGAACGGGUUCCGCAAGGAAUCAGUGGCAGACGGGUGAGCAACACGUAAGCGACCUGCCCUAAAGUGGGGAACAACUCCUAGAAAUGGGAGCUAAUACCGCAUGUGAUCCUUGUUUAAAUUAUAAGGAUUAAAGCCGUAAGGCGCUUUUGGAGGGGCUUGCGUCCGAUUAGCUAGUUGGUGGGGUAACGGCCUACCAAGGCGACGAUCGGUAGCUGGUUUGAGAGGACGACCAGCCACACGGGGGACUGAGACACGGCCCCGACUCCUACGGGAGGCAG